rnacentral:rRNA from 1 species
GGGAUCGAAGAUGCUUAGAUACCAUCGUAGUCUUAACCAUAAACUAUGCCGACUGAGGAUUCUUGAAAUUUGUAAUUGAAUUUAAGAGCACUCCAUGAGAAAUCAAAGUCUUUGGGUUCCGGGGGGAGUAUGGUCGCAAGUCUGAAACUUAAGGGAAUUGACGGAAGGGCACCACCAGGAGUGGAGCCUGCGGCUUAAUUUGACUCAACACGGGAAAACCUACCAGGUCCAGACAUAGUGAGGAUUGACAGAUUUAUAGCUCUUUCUUGAUUCUAUGGGUGGUGGUGCAUGGCCGUUCUUAGUUGGUGGUUUGAACUGUCUGCUUAAUUGCGUUAACGAACGAGACCUCAGCCUACUAAAUAGUUUUAUUUAGUUUACGAUAGAUAAUAUACUUCUUAGAGGGACAUGCCGGUUUUACCGGAAGGAAGUUCGUG